UCCACUAAUAAAUAAACAUGACAACUCAAAUCAACAGUUUAUUUAACACAAACGUUAAUCACAGAACAUAAUUAAUGCCUCUUAGAUUAUAAAUGUAGUUUCUUAAGAUUGUUUCCUUUGUUCAGCUACAAAUUUACUCAAUCUUUAUCACCCAAGAUAUAUUGAAUUGUCCAACACAAUCUCAAAGCAAUUUGUAACUAUUUUACAUUUUGCCGAAUUGGUGGCUAAUUGAAUUUGUAACAUUUCAUUCAUAUGUUUUCUUCUCAUACGAUCUGCUUACAGCACACUGAUGGUUAGGUUUAGAGCUAAAAUUGUACAUUUUCGAACGAAUCACAUCAUAUGAAUUUAUACAAAAUUGCCAUCUUGUAAAAUAAUAGCGUUUUCUCAUGAGAUCAGGUUGAACUGUCUCUAGAUGUUUUCUAGAGACAAUUCAACCUGAUCUCAUGAGAAAACGCUAGUAUCCCAUGGUCUCAUGGUCUGUUACUUUUUUAUUUAUUUUUUUUUUGUUUGAUUUACACUGCUUUGUGUUUCCACAAAUGGAAAGAUCUUUAUUUAGAUGUGCUCUUUAAAGUUAGCUGCUGCUAGACUUUAUUAAUGUGUCACUUUGAGUGUUAUUAUUACUAAACUUCUCUUUCUUUGUUCUUCCUUUAUUUUUUUAUUAUUAUAUUAUGGUUGUUACUGUUUUAAUGUACUUUUGCCAAACAAUACAUUGAUAACAAAAAUUCAACAUGUUUUAUGUUUAACAUGUUUAAACAUUAAACAUGUUAAACAUAAAACAUCAAAUAUUAUUUGAUUGGAUGUCAUUAUCAUAUAAAAAGCAUUUUGGCUUUAAGUGUGCACAGACACUGGAAACAUCACUGAGUUUGAACAACACAGUUCAGGGCUUUUCAUGGACUGAAGAUUUUUUCUUGCACUUAUGCUCUUUAAAGGGGUGGUUGAUUAUGAUUUCACUUUUUUAACUUUAGAUAGUGUUAAUGUUGCUGUUUGAGCAUAAACAACAUCUGCAAAAAUACAACGCUCAAAGUUCAAUGCAAAGGGAGAUAUUUUCUUUUACAGAAAUCGCUUUUUAAGGACUACAACAAACAGCUGGUAGGGACUACAACGAGCUUCUUCCCGUGUUAGUGACAUCACUAACCCUAAAAUUUACAUAAACCCUGACCCUGAGAACACACAGCAAAGGGGGUGAGGCCAUGCUGGGCUGCUUUAGAGAAGAGGAAGAGUUGUUGUAGUAGAGUGUUAUUGCAAUGCUGUCAUUUUACGCCAGACUGCUUCACAAAUGAGGGUCAAUUCAACGCUGGAUUUGCACAAAAGAUUAACAUGACGGCACAUGCUAGUUGAUGAGUUGAAUCAACUCCACAGCAACUACAUAAAUUUAUCCACUAACCAUUCAGAAACGUCCAGUUUCAUUCUAAAAGUUGUAACUUCUUCCUGAGUCUCUCCAUCAGUGUCGACUCCAGUUUGAAUAAUGUAAGGCUGAACACCGUUACUGAUAAUCCUCGUUUUGGCUGCGUGAGAUUCUCCAGCUUUGUUGUAAUUGAGCAACUGAAGCGCGAACUGUUAAAGCUCCACCUUCUUCCGGAAAGGGGGCCGGGAGCAGCAGCUCAUUUGCAUUUAAAGGGAAACACAAUAAUGCUGUGUUUUUGCUCACACCCAAAUAGGGGCAAAUGUGACAAGCUAUAAUAAAUGAUCUGUGUGGUAUAAGCUGAAACUUCACAGACACAUUCUGGGGACACCAGAGACUUAUAUUACAUCUUGUGAAAAGGGGCAUAAUAGGUCCCCUUUAAAAACCAUGAAAUGGUGGCUAGAUUUAUAUCUGAGUGCAAGAUGAAUGAUUUUGUUCCAUUUUCUCAAAAUAUACAAUUUUAAAUGUACUGAAAGUUCAAUUUGUCAACUUUUAGGAGCUAACAGACAAGCCACAAAAAACACCAGAGUGAAUGAAUGACAGACUAAAGUUUAAAGUUGACUAACACUUGCUCACUACUAUGUAAUUUCAGUACUUUUGUGACUCAAGCGGUCUUGGUGAGUCAAGAUGAUUUAUUCCACACUAUAGUGUACAAAGCUUGUCAUGGUGGAAAGGGGCUUCAGUCUCUGAAGGUGCUGGGAUUGAUGGUGUUUCAAAGUAGCAUGUAGCGUUUGAAUGAUGAUUCAGAGGGAUGUGUUGGCUGGGGGGGGGGGGGGGGAGGGGGUCUCUGACGCAUAUUUACUUUCCUUUUCAGCCAUAUCUUUUCCUUUUUACAGCCUUUUCUUCUCUGUGGGUCUCCUUACGGAUCAGAGACCCCCUAACUGACUAAUAACAAUCGCUUGAGGUUACCACGACAACUCACAGCCCCUCUGCUCCGUGACUUUUGACCUCACUGGGAUCUUGGGUUUCUACCUGCUGCACAGGACGUCCUGUAUGAGCUAAGACCCUUAUUCCUUGUCUGGGACUGCGUAGAGCCCUUUGAAGCUGCACUGAAACUGAAAUUUGGACCUUCGACCCAUUGAGCCCCAGUGAAGUCCACUAUAUGGAAAAAAAAAACUCUGGAAUGUUUUCCUCAAAAACCUUAAUUUCAUUUUGACUGAAGAAAGAAAGACAUAAACAUCUUGGAUGACAUGGGGGUGAGUAAAUUAUCAGGAAAUUUUAAUUCUGAAGUAAACUAAUUCUUUAAAUGUUUUGAAUACUAAUGAUGAACAUUUCUCUACAUAACAGUGCAUAUAUGGCGACCUGAUCUGACUUUCUUGAGCAUCAAAUUAUCAUAUCAGAAUGAUUUCUGAAGGAUCAUGUGACACUGAAGACUGGAGUAAUGAUGCUGAAAAUUCAGAUUUGCCAUCACAGGAAUAAAUAACAUUUUAAAUGUCACAAUAUCACUGUUUUACUGUAUUUUUUGAUCAAAUAAAUGCAGUCUUGGUGAGCAUAAGAGACUUUAAAACAAUAAAAGAUUUUACAGAACCCAAACUUUUGAUUGGUAGGGUAUAUAACAGCUACAGAGAUAACUUAUGAUUCAGUUUAAGGUUAGUGACAUUUUAUAAGUUAAUAUGACAGAUUACAGAGCCAAUUUAAUGACUUCAAUAAAAAAAGAAAAAAGAAAAAAAAAAAAAAAAAACAA